rnacentral:rRNA from 1 species
UGCAGUCGAACGGCAGCACGGGAGCAAUCCUGGUGGCGAGUGGCGAACGGGUGAGUAAUAUAUCGGAACGUGCCCAGUCGUGGGGGAUAACGCAGCGAAAGCUGUGCUAAUACCGCAUACGAUCUCUGGAUGAAAGCGGGGGACUCGUAAGAGCCUCGCGCGAUUGGAGCGGCCGAUAUCAGAUUAGCUAGUUGGUGGGGUAAAGGCCCACCAAGGCGACGAUCUGUAGCUGGUCUGAGAGGACGACCAGCCACACUGGAACUGAGACACGGUCCAGACUCCUACGGGAGGCAGCAGUGGGGAAUUUUGGACAAUGGGCGCAAGCCUGAUCCAGCAAUGCCGCGUGCAGGAUGAAGGCCUUCGGGUUGUAAACUGCUUUUGUACGGAACGAAAAGGUCUGCCUUAAUACGGUGGGCCCAUGACGGUACCGUAAGAAUAAGCACCGGCUAACUACGUGCCAGCAGCCGCGGUAAUACGUAGGGUGCGAGCGUUAAUCGGAAUUACUGGGCGUAAAGCGUGCGCAGGCGGUUAUAUAAGACAGAUGUGAAAUCCCCGGGCUCCACCUGGGACCUGCAUUUGUGACUGUAUAGCUAGAGUACGGUAGAGGGGGAUGGAAUUCCGCGUGUAGCAGUGAAAUGCGUAGAUAUGCGGAGGAACACCGAUGGCGA